GAGGAGAGUUAGGAGAAGUGCUGUGGCUGGCUAGAAGACCAAGACCCUAGCAUCCCCCACCCCAGAGAGAAGAGACACCAACAUACGCAACCAUCGCUCUGCAGCGGGACAGAUGUCAUUAAUGCUCCACUUGCUGAAAUGCAGGACUCGUCAGUGUGCAGCCACAUCACAGAACCUCCAAAGGGGCCGUGCAGCAAGGAAUUGGGGGACCUUCUCUGGGGCCACAGUUGGACAAUGCACAGUGACACCAAGUACUGUAGGACACGGGAAUAUUCUUAGGACAAAUGUUGCCCGUUUUCCUUCUGGAAAAAAAGUUUCUUCUGAAUAAAACUGGGAAAAAUACCCAAACUCUGUAUUCCUACCUCCUGACUCUUUAUAUCGACAGCUCAGCUCCCAAGUCCUCUCAGCUCUGUUUAGAGAUUCCAUUGCCAACCCAAACUGUACAAAAAUCAUGAGGCAGCUCCCCCCCCCCUUAAAAUUCCCAGAUUGCCUUAAGAAUUCAUGAGAUUUUUUUUUUAAAUUAUGCAUUUUGCUUGCUUUUGUUUGACUUCUGGUGUUUGACUGUUUGGAGGUCAGGUUUUCCAGGUGUUCUUCACAACCAGGAGGGCUAGAAACUUACUCAUUUCAACAAAAACCAAGAUUUUCACAUAAUCCCAGCAACUCAGGAAUUGGGCUUUAAGAAAAACAGCAAAUAUUAUGAGAUGCACUGUGAAAUCAUGAGAACUGACAACAGCGUCAGGGUCCCCUUUGAAUUUGCAGGUCUGUUUAAUGUCAUGCAGGUUUGUAGGGAUGAGAUGAAAUAUAAAUAACAACCAAAAAGUAUUAGUCACAAUCUAUGGCUUUGUGAAACUGUUUUUAGCCUCAUCCAGAGAGUGCAGCCAUGUGGAUGCAAGAGAACAUCAUGCCAGUAUUUGGCUCCCUGGAAAGCAGUCACUGCUUGAAGCAAUUAAAUGGCUUUGGUGUUUGGGUUUGAGCUGAUGUUUGGCAGGAAUUCUAGAGUGACGGUCAGAUUUCUGUAAGCACCCAGCAGCUGAUAAAAUUUUGCAUUUGAGAACAGGGAUUGUCUGUUGCUGGGUCCUGGGUGCUUUGGAAAAUCUAGCCACUGCAUUUAGGAGCCUGACUGAGAGCCGAACAAUGGAAAAUCUGGCUGUGUUGUGAGCUUUCAAAUGAGCAACAUAGGCCCUGCCGCUGGUACAAUCAGCACCUGAUCAAUGUCCCUGGAUCAUGCUGCAGACACUGGUGCAUUUGGGAAUCAUUCUUUCCCUUUUGUACCUUUGUUUUGUGUUGCUAGUUGAAGCUCUUUGGUUUAACUAUCCAGAUGUGUUUAACUAUCCAGAGAAGCACUUUUCUGCAGGGCUUUGAGCUCCCUGACACAUUUCCAUAGUGACUCGGGGCAGCUUUCAACUUU